rnacentral:tRNA from 1 species
UAGAAUAUGGUGUAAUUUGGUAGCACGGAGAUUUUUGAAUUCUCAAGAAUAGGUUCAAUUCCUAUAAUUCUAG